rnacentral:rRNA from 1 species
GAUGAACGCUGGCGGCGCGCCUAACACAUGCAAGUCGAACGGCACCCACCUCCGGGUGGAAGCGAGUGGCGAACGGCUGAGUAACACGUGGAGAACCUGCCCCCUCCCCCGGGAUAGUCGCCCGAAAGGACGGGUAAUACCGGAUACCCCGGGGUGCCGCAUGGCACCCCGGCUAAAGCCCCGAGGGGAGGGGAUGGCUCCGCGGCCCAUCAGGUAGACAGCGGGGUGACGGCCCACCGUGCCGACAACGGGUAGCCGGGUUGAGAGACCGACCGGCCAGAUUGGGACUGAGACACGGCCCAGACUCCUACGGGAGGCAGCAGUGGGGAAUCUUGCGCAAGGGGGGGAACCCUGACGCAGCGACGCCGCGGGCGGGACGGAGGCCUUCGGGUCGUAAACCGCUUUCAGCAGGGAAGAGUCAAGACUGUACCUGCAGAAGAAGCCCCGGCUAACUACGUGCCAGCCGCCGCAGUAAUAC